AAUUAAAUAUGAUUCAAAAGAAGAUAUCCAUUAAAAAUAAUAAGUUCAUACAACCCCAAGAAUAGAAAUAAAAAAAUAAAUACAAAUUUUUUGUCCUUUUGUUAGGGUUGCAUCCAGCCCUAGAGAAGAGCUUAAGCUUCCAUGCAGUGGUAAACGGCAGCAGCAGCACAGCAGCGGGCUCCCGUCACUUUCUUCUCUUCCUCUUUUGAUUCCCCUGAGAUCGAUUCCUUCCU
rnacentral:lncRNA from 1 species